UACGUAGGGGGCGAGCGUUGUCCGGAGUUACUGGGCGUAAAGCGCACGUAGGCGGCUUUCUAAGUCGGGGGUGAAAUCCUGGAGCUCAACUCCAGAACUGCCUUCGAUACUGGAGAGCUUGAGUCCGGGAGAGGUGAGUGGAACUGCGAGUGUAGAGGUGAAAUUCGUAGAUAUUCGCAAGAACACCAGUGGCGAAGGCGGCUCACUGGCCCGGUACUGACGCUGAGGUGCGAAAGCGUGGGGAGCAAACAGG
rnacentral:rRNA from 1 species